GAUGAACGCUGGCGGCGUGCCUAAUACAUGCAAGUCGAGCGAACAGAUGAGGAUCUUGCUCCUCUGACGUUAGCGGCGGACGGGUGAGUAACACGUGGAUAACCUACCUAUAAGACUGGGAUAACUUCGGGAAACCGGAUCUAAUACCGGAUAAUAUAUUGAACCGCAUGGUUCAUUAGUGAAAGACGGUUUUGCUGUCACUUAUAGAUGUAUCCGCGCCGCAUUAGCUAGUUGGUAAGGUAACGGCUUACCAAGGCAACGAUGCGUAGCCGACCUGAGAGGGUGAUCGGCCACACUGGAACUGAGACACGGUCCAGACUCCUACGGGAGGCAGCAGUAGGGAAUCUUCCGCAAUGGGCGAAAGCCUGACGGAGCAACGCCGCGUGAGUGAUGAAGGUCUUCGGAUCGUAAAACUCUGUUAUUAGGGAAGAACAAAUGUGUAAGUAAAUAUGCACGUCUUGACGGUACCUAAUCAGAAAGCCACGGCUAACUACGUG
rnacentral:rRNA from 1 species